UGGGGAAUCUUGGACAAUGGGGGCAACCCUGAUCCAGCCAUGCCGCGUGAGUGAUGAAGGCCUUAGGGUCGUAAAGCUCUUUCGCCUGUGAAGAUAAUGACGGUAGCAGGUAAAGAAGCCCCGGCUAACUUCGUGCCAGCAGCCGCGGUAAUACGAAGGGGGCUAGCGUUGUUCGGAUUUACUGGGCGUAAAGCGCACGUAGGCGGAUCGUUAAGUGAGGGGUGAAAUCCCAGGGCUCAACCCUGGAACUGCCUCCAAAACUAUUGGUCUAGAGUUCGAGAGAGGUGAGUGGAAUUCCAAGUGUAGAGGUGAAAUUCGUAGAUAUUUGGAGGAACACCAGUGGCGAAGGCGGCUCACUGGCUCGAUACUGACGCUGAGGUGCGAAAGUGUGGGGAGCAAACAGGAUUAGAUACCCUGGUAGUCCACACCGUAAACGAUGAAUGCCAGUCGUCGGAUAGCAUGCUAUUCGGUGACACACCUAACGGAUUAAGCAUUCCGCCUGGGGAGUACGGUCGCAAGAUUAAAACUCAAAUGAAUU
rnacentral:rRNA from 1 species